UUAUGGCCAUAUCACAUUGAAACACUGGUUCACGUAUGAUCACCAAAGUUAAGCAAUAUCGAGCCUGGUCAGUACCAACAUAGAUGACCACUUGGGAAUACCAGGGGCUGUA